GUUAUCCUUUGUGCUUACAAGUGAAUCAGCAUGCAAAGCCCUUUUGUUUUUCCCUUGCAUCAAAAGGACACUUGCUCAUGCAGCAGCAGAUUGGUCUCCUGUGCAAUAGGGAAGUACAAUAGUCAAUUUUAUUGUCUUGAAACAUGGUAUCGCUGCUUUCAGUCAAAACUUCCACUUCCCUUUGAGAAGGAGUUUGGCUGACUAUAUCGGACCGUCAAACCCUCGACCCUGGUCAGUCAGUGCAGAGCUUUCAGUAACAGCAACACGCCAAGAGUUCAUUCUGCUAUUUAUGAGAGGUAUCCUGUACUUCGUAUCAAUCCACUCACUCUACAAACUGACUUCUAGCUACACGAGAGGCUGCAGUAAGAUGGUGCUGUGCUGUACAGUGCUCCUCCAUCCACUCUGCAAAGCCCCCCGGCAGCUGCCAGGAGAGGCCGCAGCUGUACAGAAGCUGAUGUAUAACCACACAAAGGCUGCACUGAAGCCAAGAUAUUUCAUAAUCUCCAUUUUAUUUCUUCGAAGCAAAACACAAGCUGAUUUCUCCAACACUGAAAGGAAAGAAAAUAGCCUCCACCCUGCUAAUGAUCCCUCAGGGGAGGCACCAUCAAGAGGCAACACUUCUUGUAGCAGAGAAAAGCCACGGCUGCUGCUGUCCCAGCAUGCAACAUCAGCCCUGAGAGUUAUCUGCAGCCCACAGACAUCAACUAAUCUCAGCGGGUGAGGAACGAAGCCUCUCCCCAUGGGAACUCAGCUGAUUCAGGGAGGGCGGUGAGCAGCAAAGGAGGUUUCUGAAAACAAACCACUGAGCUUCCCAGAGCCCCAAUAAUGUCCAUGCACUCCCCAGAGGGGAUUUGCAGAAAGACAAGAAUAUGGCUGGACAGAAAGACACACAGUUGGAAACAUCCAUUGAAUGUGGCACUGGGAACAGGGAAGAAGGCAAAAAGGAGACAUUUAUUCUUUUUCCAUGAUUGUUUUAUUCUCUCAUUUCAAACCUCUGUCCCAAUUCAACUCCUGUCUAAUGUGCCUGCAGUGACAACCAGAAAAAAUGGCAUUAAUUGUAUUUAUCUCAAUUUACCUUCUUCUUGCUGCCAAGAGAGCAUCCAGUCAUUCUUGACCUGGAAAACCUUUGCCAUCUCAGAGGGAUAGCAGCAUUUCCAUUACUCUCCUACUCCCUAGUUCAGCCUUUCCCAGAGAACAGAGCACAAAUCCAAUGUUCCACCAGGUCUGCUACCAAAGAAAAACCACAUUCAUUUAUGACAAAAGCAUGGGUGAAAAUCAAAGUAGUAAGAAGGAGGAAACAUUUGAAAAGUCAUGAAAUACUAACAUGAUGAGUCUCCUACUCUGUUCUUGCUGCUUUUGAAAGGAUUAAAAUCGAUAUUGGUAUUUCCAAGGAAUUUCUAUGCACAAAAAACUUAAUCUGAGCCAGGCCUUCAUGCCAAUAAAAAUGAUUGUAAUGGUGUCAGAACAAAGAUCCAUCUAAUCCACCAGGUGGUAACUAAAAGAAGAUGCCAGAGCAAGGUAAGCACAGUGAUACUUUCCCAAAUGCUCUUCCAGGCUCCAACAAUUUGUGGCUCACGAACUCUCUGAGACAUAUGUUGUCAUGUAUUUAGUAUCCCUAACAAACUAUUUUUCCUGAGCUUGUCCUGCAUCCCCUUGAACCUAGUUAUGCUCCAGUAUCCAUAAUAACUGAGGCAAGGAGCCAGUUUAACUACACACUGUUAGAAGAAUGACUUCUACCUCCACUCAGUAGAGCUUCCUUCAAGCUUUCCUUAGUACAAAAACCUAACAGCUGAGUAUGCAUGAAAAACACUGGCUGUUCCUAAAAAUCUGCUUGAAUUUUAUCAUAUUAUUCCACAAUUCCUGCUGGAAAUGGGAGAAAAAAAAAAACAAAGAAAAAAAAAUAGGGAAAAGAAAACGUACAAAAAAACCAAACCAAAACAAAACUGAGCAAGUAGGAAAGAAAAGAAAGUGACUACCUGCAAUGAAACAGGUCACUGUAUCAAAACAGAGAAUCUGCAAUUCCUACUUUAAGGACCCAAAGAAUUCUCCCAGACAAGUUUACACAUCUUUUGAAUAUCUGCCCAAGUAUCUCAGCAAGUAGAAAGAUGUUUAAAAUUACCAUUCCCUCUCUCUCUUGACGGCAUACUUGGAGAUGGUUAGAUGCCGUAUUUAUUCCAUCAGGCUCAUGAAAUAAGUCACACCCAAGAAAUGUGCUCCAGAGAUGCCCAUUUCAGACAGUAGAGUAUGACUAACAAGCACGGAGGUCUGUGGUCUUCCCAGUUUUGGUCAAUCCACCUCCCACUUGGACCAUAUCUCAGCACAGACAGGGAAGCCGCACAAAGCUGUCCACCCUUUUGGAUGACUCUACAGUCCUGAUGGAGCAAGAGCUUGGGGCACACACUGCAGUUAGCCACCCACACACAUAGGUUUAUGCACUUUCUGAUGAUUCAUAAACCCAGAUCUAACAGCAGAAUUGAGCCUUUUGUUCAUUAAUUUGGAAUGAAGCAGCAGCUAACAUUUUUUACAGAUGACUGUCAAGGCAAAAUCCUGGACUGAACAAUUCUGCUUAUCUAAAAUGAAUUUCAGCUACACCCUUUAAGGCAAAGCCAUCUCUAUUAAAAGAAAUAAAGAAAAUCCCUAAAUCAUAAUCCUGGAACAUUCAGCCAGAUUCUGUACUCUGUGCAGUCCAUUGUCUAAAUUUUGCAGGGAUCCUCUUUACAACAAAUAUUAUUACUGUGCUACAUAAUCCCUACCCAAGGUGGACUAGUUAAAGAUGGAUCUGUGUAUUCUUAACUGCAAAUUCUUCAGCUUUUGGGUGUUCUUGCUGAGUCUUUAAUAACAAAGCUUUGAAAUUUAAUUACUGUCUUAACAGUUGCAACUAUUAUACUUGAGAUAAAUGCAAGAUGAGUAACAAGCAUGUAAAGGGGGAAUUAACUUUAGUCAAAAAGGAAAUAUAUGAGUAAAUUUUUAUUCAUCAAUAACAAAAUUUAACAAAAUUAACUUUAGUGUUAUAUAUGUCAAGUCCAAUUUUCAAACCACUGGAGAUCUUCCUUCUCACUCCUUCCAGCAAAUUCUAUUCAAUCACUAAUUAUGAAUGAGAGGAAGAGCUGCAAAUCAAAACCAGGAAGGUGAGCAGGCAGUGAGAAGAUGCACAACUGCCAGUUGACUUUACUGCAAGCAUAAUGUGGAAAACGUGCAGCACAGCCACUCAGAUGACUGCCCAUAACAUUCUGAAGAAUUACAUCAGAAGAGAAGAUGACCACACAAGAUUACACUGGCAGACAGCUAAACGAGUCUAAUGCACAAAGCUAGCAUGAGAGGGGCUACGGACAGACAAAAGGCUGCUCUGACACAAAGAUACAUUACCACAUUCCCUUAUUUACAGAAGAGGAAGGAUUAACAAACUGUGUUUCAGCAAUAGAGAGGAGGAAAGCAUUUCCAGACUUUUUUAUAUGAUCAAUCAUUUUCUAUGACCUCCCCACAGCAUUGUUGCUCAUAUUUGCAAAAAAGAACACCAAAGAAGACACUGAAAAAGUAGAACCAGUUAGCAGUCUUCUAUCUUUACUGCUGUUUACUUGAUGACGUAGGCAAAGUUUUAGGCAAUAAUGUGCCUGUGAAAAUGGAUGGGGCCCUGGACAGCCUGACCUAGUGGGUGGCAACCAGCCCAUGGCAGGGAGUUGGAAGUAGAUGGGCUGUAAGGUCCCUUCCAACCCAAGCCAUUCUUAGUUGAUGGUUCUAUGCACAGUUGCAAAUGUAAAGUGUAAACAGAUCACAGCAUACACUGUAUAUAUUCAACAAUAUUUACAAAACUAUACAUUUAGAUGUCAGUUCUGCAAGUGAGUUGACUUUCUCAUGCACCCAUGUAUAUUCAUAAAGCAAUACUUGUCCACUGAGUACAAAAUACCAAACAAGACUACAGGAUUAAAUUUCUCUAGAAUAUUUAGUAAAAUAAAUUAAUUUUGAUAACAUAAGACAUUGCAAUGUUUUUUCUUAGGCACAGCAGGUGCUGCAAGAUGGAGAGAGAGACACAUGACACUAUUUUGUGCUUUAAGUAGCAGGAUUGGGAACAUUAUCCGUGUAAAAAAGAAAUAGUUACUGGGUCAAAAGCAUUGGCCUCUGAGAGCUUUCUUCAGAUAGAAAUAAUAUCCCAUUUGGACAAACUUUUCUUCCUCCUUCUAUAAGCUUCUUCUUUACUCUUCUGCUAUUUUCCAACAUAUUCUAACAGCUAUAUUAUUUCUGUAUGUAUCAAUUUAUACUAUUUAUGAACACCUAUGUAUAUCAUUA
ensembl:lncRNA